AGGCAGUGUAGUUAGCUGAUUGCCCAAAGCAACAAUCACUAGCCACACGGCCAGG
rnacentral:pre_miRNA from 1 species